UUGGCUUAGAAGCAGCCAUCCUUGAAAGAGUGCGUAAUAGCUCACUGGUCAAGUGGUUCCGCGCCGACAAUGUAGCGGGGCUUAAGCACACCGCCGACGCCGCGGCAGUCCAUCGUGGUCCUAGCCUGUCCGUUGGGCGGGUUCAGGGGGUGGGCUGGGUAGGGGAGCGUCCCGCGUUGGGUGAAGUCUCGGGGUGACCCGGGGUGGACGGCGUGGGAGUGAGAAUGCAGGCAUGAGUAGCGAGAGGCGGGUGAGAAACCCGUCCGCCGAUUGACUAAGGGUUCCAGGGCCAGGUUGAUCCGCCCUGGGUUAGUCGGGUCCUAAGGCGAGGCCGACGGGCGUAGUCGAUGGACAACGGGUUGAUAUUCCCGUACCGGCGCUUGACCGUUCAAUGUUCGCCGGGGUGAUGCUAACCAUCCCCGAUCCUGUGUGUCUCUUUCGGGAGGCGUGUGGGGGAGGGCGUGGGGUCCGAGCCUGGGUGGGCAAGCGUGGUAACAGGUGUGACGCAGAGUGGUAGUCCAACCGUGUCGUAUGGCUGAGCACGGCUAAGGGUGCAGCCCGUCUCCCAGGUAAAUCCGGGGGGCGUUCGGGUCAGGCCUGAUGGGGACCGUUUGACGGGAAGUGGAUGAUCCUGUGCUGCCGAGAAAAGCAUCGACGUCAGGGCAAGCGCCGCCCGUACCCGAAACCGACACAGGUGGUCAGGUAGAGUAUACCGAGGCGUGCGAGUCAAUCGUGGUUAAGGAACUCGGCAAAAUGCCCCCGUAACUUCGGGAGAAGGGGGGCCCCGGUCUUGACGUCCCCGUGCGGGGCGGAGGGGUCGGGGCCGCAGAGUCCAGGGAGAAGCGACUGUUUAUCAAAAACACAGGUCCGUGCUAAGCCGCAAGGCGAUGUAUACGGACUGACGCCUGCCCGGUGCUGGAAGGUUAAGCGGACUGGUCAGCCCUUCGGGGUGAAGCUGGGAAGUUAAGCCCCAGUAAACGGCGGUGGUAACUAUAACCAUCCUAAGGUAGCGAAAUUCCUUGUCGGGUAAGUUCCGACCUGCACGAAUGGCGUAACGACUUCUCCGCUGUCUCGACCACGAGCUCGGUGAAAUUGCAGUACGAGUAAAGAUGCUCGUUUCGCGCAGCAGGACGGAAAGACCCCGGGACCUUUACUAUAGCUUGGUAUUGGUGUUCGGUACGGCUUGUGUAGGAUAGGUGGGAGACUGUGAACCGGUCACGCUAGUGGGCGGGGAGUCGUUGGUGAAAUACCACUCUGGCCGUGCUGACCAUCUAACCUCGGCCCGUGAUCCGGGCCAGGGACAGUGCCUGGUGGGUAGUUUAACUGGGGCGGUUGCCUCCUAAAGGGUAACGGAGGCGCUCAAAGGUUCCCUCAGCCUGGUCGGCAACCAGGUGGCGAGUGUAAGUGCACAAGGGGGCUUGACUGUGAGACUGACGGGUCGAGCAGGUACGAAAGUAGGAACUAGUGAUCCGGCGAUCCCGUGUGGGUGGGUCGUCGCUCAACGGAUAAAAGGUACCCCGGGGAUAACAGGCUGAUCCUGCCCAAGAGUCCAUAUCGACGGCAUGGUUUGGCACCUCGAUGUCGGCUCGUCGCAUCCUGGGGCUGGAGUAGGUCCCAAGGGUUGGGCUGUUCGCCCAUUAAAGCGGUACGCGAGCUGGGUUCAGAACGUCGUGAGACAGUUCGGUCCCUAUCCGCUGCGCGCGUAGGAGAAUUGAGAAGGGCUGUCCCUAGUACGAGAGGACCGGGACGGACGAACCUCUGGUGUGCCAGUUGUUCCGCCAGGAGCAUGGCUGGUUGGCUACGUUCGGGAGGGAUAACCGCUGAAAGCAUCUAAGCGGGAAGCCCGCUUCAAGACGAGUUCUCCACCACCCUCGCGGUGGGAAGGCCCCCCGAAGACGACGGGGUUGAUAGACCGGACGUGGACGCCCCGCAAGGGAGUGAAGCCGACCGGCACUAAUGGGCCGACCAACCCAACAC
rnacentral:rRNA from 1 species